rnacentral:rRNA from 1 species
AAGUCGAACGCAAUCUUUUAACAAUGAGUGCUUGCACUCAGCGUUUUAAGUGCGAGUGGCGAACGGGUGAGUAACACGUGGGCAAUCUGCCCAAAAGUGGGGGAUAACACUUGGAAACAGGUGCUAAUACCGCAUCAACCGGCUGACCGCAUGGUCGGCCGGGCAAAGACGGCGUCAGCUGUCGCUUUUGGAUGAGCCCGCGGCGUAUUAACUAGUUGGUAAGGUAACGGCUUACCAAGGUGAUGAUACGUAGCCGAACUGAGAGGUUGAUCGGCCACAUUGGGACUGAGACACGGCCCAAACUCCUACGGGAGGCAGCAGUAGGGAAUCUUCCACAAUGGACGCAAGUCUGAUGGAGCAACGCCGCGUGUAUGAAGAAGGUCUUCGGAUCGUAAAAUACUGUUGUCAGAGAAGAACACGUGAUAGAGUAACUGCUAUGACGCUGACGGUAUCUGACCAGCAAGUCACGGCUAACUAC